rnacentral:lncRNA from 1 species
UUCAUUUCCAGUGUUGCCUGGGGCUGGCAUUUGGUAAAUGGUUGAGUUCUGCACCUAGGGAACUGCAGAAACGUUUUAAUGUAGAAACGUUUAACAAAGUGGUAAGUAUUCAACAGAGAAUCAAGUGUGAAUUGAAAUCUCAUCAAGGAGAACAGGAGAUUUCAGCCACACGUUUAAUCUGUCGACAUGAAACAAGAAAAAAUUGCACCAGAAGGCAGGGAAGGAUGUUGGCACAUUGAUAUUCAUGAUUUCAUGGAAAUGGAAAUUGCCUGAGGGAGAUUUUAAGAUGAAUAGAGUACAGCUAGGCCAUUGGGAAAAGUAAUAUAGGCUGUAUGUCUGUAACUAUUCAAAUGUCCCAUAAGGCCAAUAAGGCCGUGUUGUUGGGGCAGCACACAUGCUUUCCUUGCAAUGGUUCA